rnacentral:lncRNA from 1 species
AUGCAUCCUGUCCCAUCAUGCUCUUGUCCCCUCCCAUCCAUCUUAUUCUCAUCCCAUCUACCCUACCCCAUCAAUUCCACCCUGCUCCAUCCCAUCCUGGCACAGCCGUGUGCUUUCAGCCCCAUCCAGGCCCCAAAUGUGGCACAAGGCCUUGUUCCUACUCCUGACGUGGGGGACCCCUGGCAUGGGAUGAUGGUGAGGGGAAGUCAACGACACCAGCAAACCCUCAUCAGCCACAGAGGGAUGAGGACAAGGCCACCACUGCUGUCCCACGUCCCACUGCCAACCUGGAAGGAUGGGAGCACAUUGCUCAACCCUGGGCCAGCGGGAUGGGACGGCUGCCAGAGGCAGCAGGAGUUGGGCAGCUGCCCAGGAGCUGCUCCCGGGUGGGACAAGGAGGAAAUGGAGCUUCCGCUGCAGCCAACGCCAACCUCAGCCUACAAGCACGGCACUGGGACUGCCAGCCUGCAGCGCUGCAUCGCGGGGAGAGGUGACCAACGUGCCGGGGGGACACGCGGCAAUGGGGCGGCCCAGUAGGGUGAAGCGGGGCACACGACGAGGGGCAGUGCUGGAGCUCCAGCAGUGUUCGUGCACCUCUGGUUGUGCCAGCAGUGUUUGUGCA